UACGGGGGGGGCUAGCGUUGUUCGGAAUUACUGGGCGUAAAGCGCACGUAGGCGGCUUUGUAAGUUAGAGGUGAAAGCCCGGAGCUCAACUCCGGAACUGCCUUUAAGACUGCAUCGCUUGAAUCCAGGAGAGGUGAGUGGAAUUCCGAGUGUAGAGGUGAAAUUCGUAGAUAUUCGGAAGAACACCAGUGGCGAAGGCGGCUCACUGGACUGGUAUUGACGCUGAGGUGCGAAAGCGUGGGGAGCAAACAGG
rnacentral:rRNA from 1 species